rnacentral:rRNA from 1 species
UACGGAGGGUGCAAACGUUAUCCGGAAUCACUGGGCGUAAAGCGCAUGUAGGUGGCUUGGUAAGUGGGCGAUUAAAGACCGAUGCUUAACAUCGGGACUGUUGCCUAUACUGCCUGGCUUGAGGAAGGCAGGGGCAAGCGGAACUUUGGGUGUAGGAGUGAAAUCCGUAGAUAUCCAAAGGAACACCAAUGGCGAAGGCAGCUUGCUGGGCCUUUCCUGACACUGAGAUGCGAAAGCGUGGGGAGCAAACGGG